UUUUAAAUUAGGCAUUUGGGCUUUUUUUAAAAUGCUAAGCUAUUCUUCAUCUCGUCUUUCGCCUCUUGGUUUAAUAGUUAAGAAGCUUUAAGAAAGACACGUGGGUGGGUUCUAAUCCCGCCAUGUCCUUUUCCUUUGUAUGGGCAUUUGCCCUCAUUUGAAUAAAAAAAAAAAAAAAGCUAUUCUUUAUCUUUUUCUAGCCUAUCAUUUUUCUAUCUUUAUCUUGUAAUUUGUAAGCCAUUUCUCCUCUAUGAAUGAUUGCUAUAAUAUUAGAACUCACCUCACAGAUAAAGUGAAUGUGAAUAUUUUUCAUAUCACUUGAUUAAAAACUUCAUCGUCAAGUAUUUUAAGAUCAUAUUCUUUAAAGAAAUGUUUAUCAUAAGAUGAAUUGAUUUAAACUCUCAAAAUUGUUAUAAUUAAGGAUACAACAAUUAAUAUAUAUAGUAAGCUUUCUUAAGCAUCCAACUUAAUUAAUCAAACUGAGGAGAUUUAAUUUAAAUGUAAAAUCACAUAAACUUUAAGAUAUAAUAAAUGUGAGAUAAUUUUAUUUUAACAAGCUAUCAUCUCAUGUAGGUGUAACUACACGUGAUAAUAUCAAAAGGGAUAUAAAGCAAGAAUAAUAAAACAGAAUUUAAGCAUCUAAUAUUAUGAUAAACAUCAUAUUUAAAACAAAUGGGACAUAAAUGGAGAAGUCAAAUUUAAAUAUAAAAUUAUAAGAAAUUUAAAUUUCAAAAUAUGUGAAAUAAUAUCACUUUAAUAAAUUUAAAGAACGAUUGAAUGUAAAACUAUUAAUUAUUAUAUCACUAAUUAAAAAAAUUUAAUUAGUAUUAUAUAAUAAUGUAAGGUCCAAAUAAAUAAAAGUUAACAAUAAAGGGAAAUGAAUAAGGAAGUUACUUGAAAAUGAGGUAUCAAAAAUCCCGUGAUGCAGAGAUGAUACGCAUAUGAAUAUGAUGAGCUGCGAUUGAAUGAUUUGAACGUGAACAAUAGGCAACCGACACCGCCACCGGCAUCCUUCUAUACCAAAACAAAAUUCACUAAACUACUUAAAUAAUGUCAUGCCCAGUCGUUGACUAUUCAUUAGAAGUCAAUACUAAGCUUCACAUGCUUAUCCAUUGCUUGCAUGAGUAAAUUAUGGUAUGUAUGAUCCCUUAUCUUUGAAUUUAAGUCAAUUAAUCCAAACUUAUAGAUAAACCAUUUUUUUCCAUUUUUUUAGAGGAAAAAAAUUGUUCGUAUUUUAAUUCGUUCUUUAGGGGGGUAUUGAUCGAGUUGCCAAGAAGUUCAUUUCAAGUCUAUAAUAUUGAAUUAAUUGAUGAUGCAACUUCUUCAGCUUUUAAUAUGUAACUUAAUAUUUGAAUACUUUUGAGGAUAGAGGUAAGAAAAUGUGCAAAUAAAGGUGUUCAUAAG
rnacentral:lncRNA from 1 species